UCUCUCUCUCACAGCUGCGCAUUGCUUCGAAGGGGCGACGAGGACUGCCGCGCCAGAUCCGCCGCCUCCGUGCCGGCGUGGCUGAUUUCCGCGCGGUAUGCAGCGGUAACCGCGUGGUAGGAGGCGGUUACCGACUGGCUCGCCCACCAACAGGGUGGAGAUGGCAGAAAGUAGGGACCUUGUGUGGGAGCACGGGGAGGAUUUUGCACCUGGAUGGCGUUGUAAGUAUUGCCAUCAGAGGAAGAAAGGUGGUGGGGCCACACGACUAAAAAUGCACUUGGGACACAAAGGGAAGGGGGUUACAUAUUGCAAUUCAGUGCCUCCGGAUGUCCGUGAUUUCUUCAAGCGUGAAUUGGAGAGGAUAAAACAAACAGGUGACAAGCGUCAGAAUGAUAGCAAUAGAAGGGUUGAAGCGGCAGGGGUCAACUAUUAUGACCUAACAGGUGAUGCCGACGAGGAGGAACAAAUGGAAGCAGCCAUGGCAGCCUCAUGACAAGAGGAAAACUUCAGGAGCCACGUGGAGGAGCGUGGUGGCACUUAUGAGCAUGGUGGUGGGAGUGGAUCCGCUCAGCUCGAGGCACGGAAAGGUAGAAGUAACCCAAUUACCAGUAUGCUACGAAGGGCUACAUCUCAUAGGGAGUCACCUGCUGUAAGAGAUUACAAUCUAGCAUCUGCCAAGUUCCCUGUGCAGACACGCAUUGACAUAGGAUUCUUCACAAAGAAGGGGAAGCAAGCUAGGCAGGCCAUUGGUGAGUCAUGGGCAAGGUUCUUCUUUACCGCCGGCAUUCCAGGUAGAAAUGCCGAUAAUCCAUACUUUGUCAGUGCCGUUCGGGAGACACAAAAGUGGGGUACGUAUGUAUUUAUUAAGGAAUUACAUUUUUCUAACACAUUUUUCUAAUUACUUCAUACGUC